rnacentral:rRNA from 1 species
UCCWUUAWUYWWKWWYGAAAGUUAGAGGUUCGAAGGCGAUCAGAUACCGCCCUAGUUCUAACCAUAAACGAUGCCAGCCAGCGAUCCGGCUGUGUUCCUCAAAUGACACGCCGGGCAGCUUCCGGGAAACCAAAGCUUUUGGGUUCCGGGGGAAGUAUGGUUGCAAAGCUGAAACUUAAAGGAAUUGACGGAAGGGCACCACCAGGAAUGGAGCCUGCGGCUUAAUUUGACUCAACACGGGAAAACUUACCCGGCCCGGACACAGGAAGGAUUGACAGAUUAAGAGCUCUUUCUUGAUUCUGUGGGUGGUGGUGCAUGGCCGUUCUUAGUUGGUGGAGCGAUUUGUCUGGUUAAUUCCGAUAACGAACGAGACUCUAGCCUACUAAAUAGACGUUCCGAUCAUCUCCGUCGGACGUUCUUCUUAGAGGGACAAGCGGCGUUUAGCCGCACGAGACAGAGCAAUAACAGGUCUGUGAUGCCCUUAGAUGUCCGGGGCCGCACGCGCGCUACAUUGAAGGAAUCAGCGUGUGCUUUCCCUGUCCGACAGGACUGGGUAACCCGUUGAACCUCCUUCGUGCUGGGGAUAGGGGCUUGUAAUUGUUCCCCUUGAACGAGGAAUUCCCAGUAAGCACGAGUCAUAAGCUCGUGUUGAUUACGUCCCUGCCCUUUGUACACACCGCCCGUCGCUACUACCGAUUGAAUGAUUUAGUGAGGUCUUCGGACUGGCGCCCGGAGCGGCCCUCGGGUCGCGCCGGCGUGCCGGAAAGAUGACCAAACUUGAUCAUUUAGAGGAAGUAAAAAAAAAAAAAAAAAA